GUGCCAGCAGCCGCGGUAAUACGUAGGGUGCAAGCGUUGUCCGGAAUUAUUGGGCGUAAAGAGCUCGUAGGCGGUUUGUCGCGUCUGCUGUGAAAACCCGAGGCUCAACCUCGGGCCUGCAGUGGGUACGGGCAGACUAGAGUGCAGUAGGGGAGAUUGGAAUUCCUGGUGUAGCGGUGGAAUGCGCAGAUAUCAGGAGGAACACCAAUGGCGAAGGCAGAUCUCUGGGCUGUAACUGACGCUGAGGAGCGAAAGCAUGGGGAGCGAACAGGAUUAGAUACCCUGGUAGUCCAUGCCGUAAACGUUGGGCGCUAGAUGUGGGGACCUUUCCACGGCUUCCGUGUCGUAGCUAACGCAUUAAGCGCCCCGCCUGGGGAGUACGGCCGCAAGGCUAAAACUCAAAGGAAUUGACGGGGGCCCGCACAAGUGGCGGAGCAUGUGGAUUAAUUCGAUGCAACGCGAAGAACCUUACCUGGGCUUGACAUACACCAGAUCGCUGCAGAGAUGUAGUUUCCCUUGUGGUUGGUGUACAGGUGGUGCAUGGUUGUCGUCAGCUCGUGUCGUGAGAUGUUGGGUUAAGUCCCGCAACGAGCGCAACCCUCGUUCUAUGUUGCCAGCACGUGAUGGUGGGAACUCAUGGGAGACUGCCGGGGUCAACUCGGAGGAAGGUGGGGAUGACGUCAAAUCAUCAUGCCCCUUAUGUCCAGGGCUUCACACAUGCUACAAUGGUCGGUACAACGCGCAGCGACACUGUGAGGUGGAGCGAAUCGCUGAAAGCCGGCCUUAGUUCGGAUUGGGGUCUGCAACUCGACCCCAUGAAGUCGGAGUCGCUAGUAAUCGCAGAUCAGCAAUGCUGCGGUGAAUACGUUCCCGGGCCUUGUACACACCGCCCGUCACGUCAUGAAAGUUGGUAACACCCGAAGCCGGUGGCCCAAACUUGUUAGGGAGCCGUCGAAGGUGGGAUCGGCGAUUGGGACGAAGUCGUAACAAGGUA
rnacentral:rRNA from 1 species